CAGACAAUAAUUUAAGAGGAUAGCCGCGCGGCUGUACUUUAAAAAUAUAAACUUAUAGCGUAUAGCCGUGCGGCUAUACUCUUAAAUUAUUGUAUU
rnacentral:miRNA from 1 species